rnacentral:rRNA from 1 species
AUGAAGCCUAGCGAUUGUAAAUUUAGUGGCGGACGGGUGAGUAACGCGUGGGUAACCUGCCUUGUACUGGGGGACAACAGUUGGAAACGACUGCUAAUACCGCAUAACACAUAGGUGUCGCAUGGCACUUAUGUCAAAGAUUUAUCGCUGAAAGAUGGGCUCGCGUCUGAUUAGAUAGUUGGUGGGGUAACGGCCUACCAAGUCGACGAUCAGUAGCCGGACUGAGAGGUUGAACGGCCACAUUGGGACUGAGAUACGGCCCAGACUCC